rnacentral:rRNA from 1 species
UGGGGAAUAUUGCACAAUGGGCGCAAGCCUGAUGCAGCCAUGCCGCGUGUAUGAAGAAGGCCUUAGGGUUGUAAAGUACUUUCAGUCGGGAGGAAGGUGUUGAGUUUAAUAUGCUCAGCAAUUGACGUUACCGACAGAAGAAGCACCGGCUAACUCCGUGCCAGCAGCCGCGGUAAUACGGAGGGUGCAAGCGUUAAUCGGAAUUACUGGGCGUAAAGCGCACGCAGGCGGUUGAUUAAGUCAGAUGUGAAAUCCCCGGGCUCAACCCGGGAAUUGCAUCUGAGACUGGUCGGCUAGAGUCUUGUAGAGGGGGGUAGAAUUCCAUGUGUAGCGGUGAAAUGCGUAGAGAUGUGGAGGAAUACCGGUGGCGAAGGCGGCCCCCUGGACAAAGACUGACGCUCAGGUGCGAAAGCGUGGGGAGCAAACA